AUGAGGCUUUGGGCUCCACAAAAUGGAGGGAUUGUAAAUGAGACCCACCCCCAAGCCAGACUCUCCAGAGUUACAUUCUCAGUGAAAAGGUAGACAAGGGUAAAAACCAGUCUCCACUCAGGCAGAUCACCUGCCACAUCCGGGGCUUGGAGUGGGGAAAGCAGGCUGCUCUGGGAAUUUGUAACCAUAGACUUAGCCUCAGGGGGUUUGAGAUUUAAAUUUAGACUGCUACUUAUAUGCUCUGGGGACUCCCCAAGCAAAAACUUAACACAAAAAUAGGUCCCUUGGCAUGGGGCAGAAACAAAUGCAAACAUGCACUAGAGGGCUAUGACCUCAACCCAGGCUGCCCAGGGUUCCCACCGAAAGAUGCCCCUACAGAUGAAUUCACAAAGGUAAAUUACAAAACAAAAGUAGCCAUAAGUGAGAUCCAGCUGCAAAACCAACAGUACAAGUGGAUACCCCAAGAAUCUCAGAUGAUAGAUCCAGGAGAUAGAGACCAUAAAAUAGCUGUGACUAAAAUUACUAAUGACAGGCCAGGUGGAGUGGCUCAUGCCUGUAAUCCCAGUACUUUGGGAGGUUGAGGUUGGUAGAUCACUCAGGCCCGGGAGUUCAAGACCAGCCUGGGAAACAUGGCAAAACCCCAUCUCUAUGAAAAAUACAAAAAUUAACAUGGCAUGGUGAUGCAUGCCUGUGGUCCCAGCUACUCAGGAGGCUGAGGUUGGAGGAUCACUUGAGCCUGGGAGGUCGAGGCUGCAGUGAGCCAUGAUCGUUCCACUGCACUCCAGCCUGGGUGACAGAGUAAGACCUUGUCUAAAAAGAAAAAGAAAAAAAGACACCUAUCACUUUGGGAGGCAGAGGCGGGUAGAUCACUUGAGGUCAGGAAUUCGAGAUCAGCCUUGCCAACAUGGCAAAACCCCAUCUCUACUAAAAGUACAAAAAUUUGCUGGGCAUAGUGGUGUGCACCUGUAGUCUCAGCUAUUCGGGAGGCUGAGGCAAGAGAAUCACUUGAACCUGGGAUGCGGAGGUUGCAGCAAGCCGAGAUGGCACCACUGCACUCCCGCCUGGGUGACAGAGCAAGACUCCAUCUCAAAAAAAAAAA
rnacentral:lncRNA from 1 species